CUCUGCCUUCACCGGGUACCGUGCUCAGGGAUCAGCAAGACCGAUCUAGAUACUAUCACGGAAAGAAACAUCAUGCAUGUCUCAGAUCGAACCAUGUUCCAGGAAUCCAGCUGCAAAUGAGGACAACCACCUAGCCAAAAUACAUCAACAUAACACGCUGCAGAAAUGAAAACAUUUUCAACGACUGCCCAUUCUCCUAUAGGAAGUUUGUUAUGUCUGUCAAAUUACUUUCGCGUUUACGUCUAUCAAUUCAAGUUUGGUGGUUUUAUUAUUAUGUUAAACGACAGUGUAUAAUUUCAGUGGCAUUUUAUUGUAAUUUUUUAGGAAAACUCAGGGCUAUUUCUUUUUUGUAUUUCUGUUUCAAUAGUUUAGAUAUUUAUCUUAAGUAAUAAAUCUAUAGAAGUUUUAUAUAUAUAUAAUAAAUAUUUUGAUAUAUGUAUAAUAUGUACUUGGUUCUAAACUAUAAUUCAUGAUUUAUGAAAUCACUUCGAAAGAUAAGUAGUAUUACAUUCCAAGUACUGUUAACUCUGAUUUUGUAAGGUUUAUUUACCGUAUAAAAUGAACCGGCUGAAUAGUCAAAGCUAAUAUGUAUUACAAAUGAUGAUCACUUGAUGUCCGGUUAAGUCCGAUGGGUGAUGUGGUUUAUUUAGUGUUUAAACCGAACAUGUUGAAUAGUCAAUCUUAAUCAUAUAUUAGAAAUGAUGGUCAGAACCGGUUAAAUACUUUACUUUCUUUGUUUCUUAAAUGUAUAAAGCGGGCCGGUUCAAGUGUGAAUCUUGUUAAGAAUAAGUUAGGUUUGAUAUGUAUAUAAUUUUGAAAUUAGAUAUACCAAUUGGUCAUCGUAUGUGAUUCUAAUGAUGCCAAAAUAUGUUUGUUAACUGAACUGAGAUUAUAGGCGAAAGUAGUUAUAACUAUAAGUUAUAAAAUAUUAAUAUGAAUUAAAUGAAACAUGAUUUCUAGAGAGGAUCCAUUUAAAAAAAAAAUCACACAUAAAAGAAAAUUGUGGCUUCUAUUUUAAUAGAAUAGAUAUAGAAAUAGGUUAGACAUGCUUGUUUUUAACCUAGUUUUAAAACCACACAUUUUGAACCGAUGAGCUAUCAUCUCUGUAGAAGGCAAAAUAAAUUCCAUCUUCUCAUCUCAGUCCUACAUCUCACUAUCGGAUCACUGACUAGUCUAUUCAAAACUGGAUAUCCUCUUUCCACAAAAAUAAUUCUCACAUAUUGGAAGAUCUUUGCACGUGAUUCAGCUCACUAACAUUCGGCUACCCUAGAAUCCUAUAUUUUCUAUUUAUUUACAAGUUUCAUUCUUUUUGCUAGUUAUAUGACAUAUCCGAUCUUAUUUUCUGCUAGUCAAUAAAUUUUAAAUAUAGAGAAGAAAAUACACUCAUUUUGAAGUCGAACAUAAUAAAUCAAUUUAAGUUAUCCAACAAACGUAAUAAUGAACAACUAAACGAUGCCGUUGUCUGAAACACUGCAUAUCAUCAAUAUGCGUUGAAUUCAAUUAUGAACUUUAC